CACUGCCUGUCAUCCAAGCUGUCACCGCAUAGAAUUAGAACAAUAGCUGAUAGCAAAGAUCGCCGGUGACGGAUAAAGUUAGAGUCCAAAGAGGGAGAAGCUAGGACAAAUUUACUAUUCUACUUAUAACUAAUUGAAUUCGAUAUUCUACCUAAACAUACAAUUCGAUGUGUACAAGAUUGUUAGCUUAGUUGUAGCGUCGGAAGACAGACCCAUUGGUUCUGCAUCAUGAUACCUAAAGUUUUAAAGCUGCACGAAAACGUAAACGUAUGCGUAUUCAAUGUGCUGCUCACAACUCGGUGUUUCGGUGCCUGUCUUGGUCUGAUCCGCGCC